rnacentral:pre_miRNA from 14 species
GUGGAUGAUGACAAGAAAGGACCUUUCUGGAGGGCCCCCCCUCAAUCCUGUUGUGCUCGCUUCAGAGGGUUGGGUGGAGGCUCUCCUGAAGGUGUCUAUAGAGCAUCGCAUGGUGA